GAUGAACGCUAGCGGCAGGCCUAAUACAUGCCAGUCGAACGAGAUUAAGAGGCUUGCUUCUUAUGAAAGUGGCGCACGGGUGCGUAACGCGUAUGCAACCUACCUUAAUCAGGGGGAUAGCCCGAAGAAAUUCGGAUUAAGACCGCAUAAAAACACAGGAUAGCAUUAUCCAAUGUUCAAAUAUUUAUAGGAUUAAGAUGGGCAUGCGUGUCAUUAGCUAGUUGGCGGGGUAACGGCCCACCAAGGCGACGAUGACUAGGGGAUCUGAGAGGAUGACCCCCCACACUGGUACUGAGGUACGGACCAGACUCCUACGGGAGGCAGCAGUAAGGAAUAUUGGUCAAUGGAGGGAACUCUGAACCAGCCAUGCCGCGUGCAGGAAGACAGCCCUCUGGGUCGUAAACUGCUUUUAGUCGGGAAUAAACCUUUCUACGUGUAGGAAGCUGAAUGUACCGAAGGAAUAAGGAUCGGCUAACUCCGUG
rnacentral:rRNA from 1 species